CCCUUGUUUGCACUUCCUUUUCCGCAAAAGUCUACAAUAUUAAGGCUAAAUAGCAGAAAAAUAUGACCCAAUAAUCCAUGCAAUUAAAAAUAUCUAUCAAAUUAACUUCAAAAAUCAUGAUUUGGGAAUUAUAUCUAUUCAGGCAAUCAACCCAUAAUUUAGUGACAGAUCUUGGGAUUGGUGUACUACAAAACUAUAUUGACUGAAGUUUUGGAAAAAUUUAGCCAACUUUAGCCAACUUUUGAAGGAUUUUAUUAGGUCCAGUUCACAUGAGACUGGAACGAAGUCAAUUAACCGGGACCAUUUCGUUUUGGUCAUUAGAUUAUAUAUAAUAGAUGUUUACAUGAGGUCUCAAGUCAUUCCGCCUGCUGGACCAAGCUGACUGACUCAGACCAGUAUGAAUUCAGACUGGAAUGAAUGUUGACAUUGGAACAAGUGAACAACACAUGCUAACAAAAGUCAUCUAAAAAAGAAAAUUGCCUGGCAAGGGGAAUAAAUUGAAAAUUUUGUGAUUUUCAUACUGGUCUCAUGUAAACAUGUUG